rnacentral:lncRNA from 1 species
AUGGCUUCUUGUUUGGUGCCCGACUUCCCGGCCGUCGUGGUGGCUCUGGAGCAUUUAAGAGAGCUGGAUAAGGAACUGAAAGAGGAGGCGCUGCCGUUCGGACCUGACACCUGCCUCCAUCUCACUACAAUAGCUGCAGCCAUCACUAAGCUGGAGACAGACCGCCGCGCUGCCCAUGAACAUUUAGAGGUGAAGACAAUAGAGAACAGCAAGCUGAGGCACCAGAUCAAUAAUUUCCGUGAACGACUGAGAGAGGAAAUCGAGGCUGACGUCGCAGCAGCCCGAGCGUCUAAUGCUGAAGAGAUAGAGAAGCUGCAGACAGAGCUCAGCUCUGUCUCCCAGUUACAAGAAGCUGCUGUGAAAAAGCAGGAAGCUUUCCUAUACAGAAAUGAAGCAUUGUAUCCUGAACGUGAACAGGUGAAGGCUGACCACCAGGAGGUCAUUUCUGUUCUGAACGAUCAAAUCACCUUAAAAUAUAGCUUGCAAACGCGGCUGGAUGAGACACUGGCGCGGAUAGAGGAGCUGAAGUCACGCAUCGCUUCUGCAGAGCAGCACACAACAACACUACAGCAGGAAACUGCGCUGCAGAGAGAGGAGUUCACAAUGAAGAAACGCAACUUGUCCGAAGAAGCGCGUGAGACUGACGUUAAAAUUCAGCAGCAGAAGCAGGCGAUCGAUUUUAUCCGAAAAGAGCUCGAAGGGGUCGCUGACCAGAAGCAAGAAGUGUGUAAUCAUCUGGGGAAGCUCAUGGUCGAGGUGGCCAGACAGGAGAGCAGUGUGAAAAGACUGACGGCAUGUCGGUGGCAGUUAGAGAAAAAGCUAAAAGGCGAGGCUCAAAGGCACCGAGACUUGAGGCAGCAGAGUGAAGCAGUGAGGAGACGCUUGUGUGAGAUGGAAGAAGCCUUUAACUCUGCCUUCCAGCAGCUUGAGGAAGACAUUGCCACAGAGGAACGCAAAAUAGACAAGGGCCGAGCGACGGGUCUGCCCCUGAUGGAGUCCCAGGCUCAGAUCAGCGAGAUCUUCAAGCGGCAGCAUGAUAAGGAAAACAAGGUGAAGGCGAAGCAUUUCUACACGUCACAGAAGCUGCUGCAGUCCAAGCAGCAGCUGGAGCAGUGCAUUUCCUCUGUAGUCGAACACAGCCAUGAGAUCAAAGAGAUGGAAAAGCAGAUUAGAGAACUGCUGGAAGCUGGAUUGAUCCACAAGCGAGUGUUUGACAGCAGCCGGGAAGCGUUGUGCAGCGACAUAGAUGCAGAGAAGAAGAACGUCAGUUAUGUAGAGGAGGAGAGGAGGCGGCUAAGUAGACUUCUGGAGGAGGCCAACAUAAAGCAUGAAGAGUAUGUGACGUCGAUGACCUUUGACCUCGCCGGCAUCAGGAGAAGAUACAUGGAGCUGCAGCAGGAGGAGGCCGCACUCCUGCAGUGUCGCCCCGAGAGUGCGGAUGCUAAACUGCUGAUGAGCCAAGUCACCCAGUCUGAGGUGAAGUACAGGCGCGUGGAGUCGGAGCAGCACCAGGAGAUAGAACAGUGCGCUGCCAAGAUAGAGGUCCUGGUGUCAAGCAACGAGGAGAACCAAAAGGAUGUGGAGCAGCAAGAGGAGCUGCUGAAGGAGGUGGAGGCCAGAAUGAGCGAGAGGCAGAGCAGGUACCGCAGGCUCGAAGCGCUGCACUCCGAGCUGGGCUCCAAGAGGUCCCAGGUGGACCUGUCGAUCCAGCGGCUCAAAGCGGAAACCAGCACGUUGCUUCAGCCCAGAGAACAGAUGAAGGCUGAACUGGAAGACCUCCAGGCGAGUCACAUGGACGUGCUCAAAAGACAGGCCACCGAGCUGAGAGCUGUGGAGAUCAGCGUCUACGACGACAGAGUGAAACUGGAGCAGGUGAGCGUGGAGAACAGCCGGCUGCACCUCUGUGUGCGGCGGAUGACGGAGGACGUCGGCAGAGCCAGGCUGGACAGGGACCGGUACCGGCAGGAGGUCCACGAGUGCGACCGGGACACAGCGGCCUCGCGUGAGCGUCUACGGGAAGCCUGGGAGGAGGAUUUACUGCUGACUCAGCGCUAUCAGAGGAGCAGUGGCGCGGCGUUGACCUCCGCGAGCGCUUUGCUGAGUCAUCUGAAGACCAGAAGACAACAGCUGGGAGACGUCAGCUCGCUCCUCCACCAACAGAUGUUGGAGUUCAGCAAGCGGCUGGGAGACAAAACAAAUGUAGUCCAGCACAGCUGA